rnacentral:rRNA from 1 species
UACGUAGGGUGCGAGCGUUAAUCGGAAUUACUGGGCGUAAAGCGUGCGCAGGCGGUUUUGUAAGCCAGAUGUGAAAUCCCCGGCUUAACCUGGGAAUGGCAUUUGGGACUGCAAGGCUGGAGUGUGGCAGAGGAGACUGGAAUUCCCGGUGUAGCAGUGAAAUGCGUAGAUAUCGGGAGGAAUACCGAUGGCGAAGGCAGGUCUCUGGGCUGACACUGACGCUGAGGCGCGAAAGCUAGGGAGCGAACGGG